CCUGGCUCAGGACGAACGCUGGCGGCGCGCCUAACACAUGCAAGUCGAACGAGCAAGAGAGAGCUUGCUUUCUCGAGCGAGUGGCGAACGGGUGAGUAACGCGUGAGGAACCUGCCUCAAAGAGGGGGACAACAGUUGGAAACGACUGCUAAUACCGCAUAAGCCCACGGUGCCGCAUGGCACAGAGGGAAAAGGAGCAAUCCGCUUUGAGAUGGCCUCGCGUCCGAUUAGCUAGUUGGUGAGGUAACGGCCCACCAAGGCAACGAUCGGUAGCCGGACUGAGAGGUUGAACGGCCACAUUGGGACUGAGACACGGCCCAGACUCCUACGGGAGGCAGCAGUGGGGAAUAUUGCACAAUGGGGGAAACCCUGAUGCAGCGACGCCGCGUGGAGGAAGAAGGUCUUCGGAUUGUAAACUCCUGUUGUUGGGGAAGAUAAUGACGGUACCCAACAAGGAAGUGACGGCUAACUACGUGCCAGCAGCCGCGGUAAAACGUAGGUCACAAGCGUUGUCCGGAAUUACUGGGUGUAAAGGGAGCGCAGGCGGGAAGACAAGUUGGAAGUGAAAUCUAUGGGCUCAACCCAUAAACUGCUUUCAAAACUGUUUUUCUUGAGUAGUGCAGAGGUAGGCGGAAUUCCCGGUGUAGCGGUGGAAUGCGUAGAUAUCGGGAGGAACACCAGUGGCGAAGGCGGCCUACUGGGCACCAACUGACGCUGAGGCUCGAAAGUGUGGGUAGCAAACAGGAUUAGAUACCCUGGUAGUCCACACCGUAAACGAUGAUUACUAGGUGUUGGAGGAUUGACCCCUUCAGUGCCGCAGUUAACACAAUAAGUAAUCCACCUGGGGAGUACGACCGCAAGGUUGAAACUCAAAGGAAUUGACGGGGGCCCGCACAAGCAGUGGAGUAUGUGGUUUAAUUCGACGCAACGCGAAGAACCUUACCAAGUCUUGACAUCCCUUGACAGACAUAGAAAUAUGUAAUCUCUUCGGAGCAAGGAGACAGGUGGUGCAUGGUUGUCGUCAGCUCGUGUCGUGAGAUGUUGGGUUAAGUCCCGCAACGAGCGCAACCCUUAUGGUCAGUUACUACGCAAGAGGACUCUGGCCAGACUGCCGUUGACAAAACGGAGGAAGGUGGGGAUGACGUCAAAUCAUCAUGCCCUUUAUGACUUGGGCUACACACGUACUACAAUGGCGUUAAACAAAGAGAAGCAAGACCGCGAGGUGGAGCAAAACUCAGAAACAACGUCCCAGUUCGGACUGCAGGCUGCAACUCGCCUGCACGAAGUCGGAAUUGCUAGUAAUCGUGGAUCAGCAUGCCACGGUGAAUACGUUCCCGGGCCUUGUACACACCGCC
rnacentral:rRNA from 1 species